rnacentral:rRNA from 1 species
AUUGAACGCUGGCGGCAUGCCUUACACAUGCAAAUCGAACGGUAACGGGCCUUCGGGUGCCGACGAGUGGCGAACGGGUGAGUAAUACAUCGGAACGUGCCCGAUCGUGGGGGAUAACGAGGCGAAAGCUUUGCUAAUACCGCAUACGAUCUACGGAUGAAAGCAGGGGACCGCAAGGCCUUGCGCGGACGGAGCGGCCGAUGGCAGAUUAGGUAGUUGGUGGGAUAAAAGCUUACCAAGCCGACGAUCUGUAGCUGGUCUGAGAGGAUGAUCAGCCACACUGGGACUGAGACACGGCCCAGACUCCUACGGGAGGCAGCAGUGGGGAAUUUUGGACAAUGGGCGCAAGCCUGAUCCAGCCAUGCCGCGUGCAGGAUGAAGGCCUUCGGGUUGUAAACUGAUUUUGUACGGAACGAAAAGCCUUCUUUUAAUACAGGGGGGUCAUGACGGUACCGUAAGAAUAAGCACCGGCUAACUACGUG